GAUGAACGCUGGCGGCGUGCCUAAUACAUGCAAGUCGAGCGAACAGACGAGGAGCUUGCUCCUCUGACGUUAGCGGCGGACGGGUGAGUAACACGUGGAUAACCUACCUAUAAGACUGGGAUAACUUCGGGAAACCGGAGCUAAUACCGGAUAAUAUAUUGAACCGCAUGGUUCGAUAGUGAAAGACGGUUUUGCUGUCACUUAUAGAUGGAUCCGCGCCGCAUUAGCUAGUUGGUAAGGUAACGGCUUACCAAGGCGACGAUGCGUAGCCGACCUGAGAGGGUGAUCGGCCACACUGGAACUGAGACACGGUCCAGACUCCUACGGGAGGCAGCAGUAGGGAAUCUUCCGCAAUGGGCGAAAGCCUGACGGAGCAACGCCGCGUGAGUGAUGAAGGUCUUCGGAUCGUAAAACUCUGUUAUUAGGGAAGAACAAAUGUGUAAGUAACUAUGCACGUCUUGACGGUACCUAAUCAGAAAGCCACGGCUAACUACGUG
rnacentral:rRNA from 1 species